rnacentral:rRNA from 1 species
UACGUAGGGUGCGAGCGUUGUCCGGAAUUAUUGGGGCGUAAAGGGCUCGUAGGCGGUUUGUCGCGUCGGGAGUGAAAUCCACUGGCUUAACUGGUGGCUUGCUUUCGAUACGGGCAGACUAGAGUACUGCAGGGGAGACUGGAAUUCCUGGUGUAGCGGUGAAAUGCGCAGAUAUCAGGAGGAACACCAAUGGCGAAGGCAGCACUCUGGGACGGUACUGACGCUGAGACGCGAAAGCGUGGGGAGCAAACAG